ensembl:lncRNA
CCGCAUACCUUUGAAUCCGAGAAUCUGGUCACCCUCGGAUAAUUCCAAAGCUGAAUUGUCGGACUUUCACUUGCACAGAGAGGCUGCUGCCUCCACUCCAUCACCUGGAAAAGGAAGCGUUCUUCCAGCAGCCCUGGGGCUGAGUAAGCGGCCUGAGAGGACCUCUAAAAAUGGUUCGCAAUUCACUUUGCCCAGGAACCCCCCGAAAUCAUGAAAAUCAAGAGGUUCAAAUCUUCGUGUUCACUUUAAGAACACUCAUGAAACUACCCAGGCCUGUAAGGGUGUGCAUAUCCAAAAUGCCACCAAUCACGUCGUCCUACGACAGAAACUAACACAGCAUGCUCCUCACAUCAGGCUGGCCUUGCCUGGCAUUGGGCUUUUACCGACAGAAAGUGAGAGAGGAGGCAUUGAGACCUGGCUGCCUCCACUCACUGUCACGGAACCCUAUGCCUGCCAUGUGAACAAGCCCAGUUUAGCCUGAAUGCCUACCCCUUCCACCAAACUCAGAUUUGGUGACUCAGUUUCCAGAAUCAGAGAGGUUCAGUG